UACGAAGGGGGCUAGCGUUGCUCGGAAUUACUGGGCGUAAAGCGCACGUAGGCGGUUCUUUAAGUCAGGGGUGAAAUCCUGGAGCUCAACUCCAGAACUGCCUUUGAUACUGAGGACCUUGAGUUCGGGAGAGGUGAGUGGAACUGCGAGUGUAGAGGUGAAAUUCGUAGAUAUUCGCAAGAACACCAGUGGCGAAGGCGGCUCACUGGCCCGAUACUGACGCUGAGGUGCGAAAGCGUGGGGAGCAAACAGG
rnacentral:rRNA from 1 species